rnacentral:rRNA from 1 species
GACGAACGCUGGCGGCGUGCUUAACACAUGCAAGUCGAACGGAGUGGCGAACGGGUGAGUAACACGUGGGUGAUCUGCCUUGCACUUCGGGAUAAGCUGGGGAAACUGGGUAUAAUAACGGAUAGAGCAAGAUGAGGUCGCGGCCUCUCAGCUUGUUGGUGGGGUAAUGGACUACAAAGGCGUGGAAUGGUAGCCGGCCUGGGAGGGUGUACGGCCACAUUGGGACUGCGAUACGGCCCAGACUCCUACGGUAGGCAGCAGUGGGGAAUAUUGCACAAUGGGCGGAAGUCUGAUGCAGCGACGCCGGGUGGGGGAUGAAGGCCUUCGGGUUGAAAACUCCUUUCGACAGGGACGCGGUACCUGUAUAGGAAGCACCGGCUAACUACGUGCCAGCAGCCGCGGUAAUUC